CUAAGGCCAGGGGCGCACAUUCGAAAAAAAUUUGGGGGGGUGUCCUAUGUUCUGGGACCGACUUUUGUAGUAUUUGUGUUUGGUAAGAAAAGCCAACUAUUUAAAGCGCAUAGACGGUAAGACGGGGAUAGCAUUCCAAGAGUUUAAAUAAACGUUCAGUUUUUCAGAACUUUUGCAGUGGUCUAAACUUUUGGAAGGGGGGAGUGCAAAAUUUUUAUGGAUUUCGAAUGCGAGCGCCGUAGGCGCGAGGAAAUUUUUGAAUUUCUAGAUUCAUUAGAACGCUAUUUCACGUAUUUUAGGACAAGGUUUGAAGAAAAGUUACAACCACAAAAAGGCAUUUUUAAGUCGUCUAAUGUU